AAGUCGUAACAAGGUUUCCGUAGGUGAACCUGCGGAAGGAUCAUUACUGAGUUCAUGCCCUUACGGGUAGAUCUCCCACCCUUGAAUAUCUAAACCUUUGUUGCUUUGGCGGGCCGCUUCGGCUACCGGCUCCGGCUGGUGAGUGCCCGCCAGAGAACCUUAAACUCUGAAUUACAGUGUCGUCCGAGUACUAUAAAAUAGUUAAAACUUUCAACAACGGAUCUCUUGGUUCUG
rnacentral:misc_RNA from 1 species